AGUCGAGCGGUCCUUCGGGACAGCGGCGAACGGGUUAGUAACGCGUGGGAACGUGCCCUUUAGUACGGAAUAGCCAUUGGAAACGAUGAUUAAUACCGUAUACGCCCCAAGGGGGAAAGAUUUAUCGCUAAAGGAUCGGCCCGCGUUAGAUUAGGUAGUUGGUAGGGUAAUGGCCUACCAAGCCGACGAUCUAUAGCUGGUUUGAGAGGAUGAUCAGCAACACUGGGACUGAGACACGGCCCAGACUUCUACGGAAGGCAGCAGUAGGGAAUCUUGGACAAUGGGCGAAAGCCUGAUCCAGCCAUGCCGCGUGAGUGAUGAAGGCCCUAGGGUUGUAAAGCUCUUUCGCCAGGGAAGAUAAUGACGGUACCUGGUAAAGAAACCCCGGCUAACUCCGUGCCAGCAGCCGCGGUAAUACGGAGGGGGUUAGCGUUGUUCGGAAUUACUGGGCGUAAAGCGCACGUAGGCGGAUUAAUAAGUCAGGGGUGAAAUCCCGAGGCUCAACCUCGGAACUGCCUUUGAUACUGUUAGUCUUGAGUUCGAGAGAGGUGAGUGGAAUUCCGAGUGUAGAGGUGAAAUUCGUAGAUAUUCGGAGGAACACCAGUGGCGAAGGCGGCUCACUGGCUCGAUACUGACGCUGAGGUGCGAAAGCGUGGGGAGCAAGCAGAUUAGAUACCCUGGUAGUCCACGCCGUAAACGAUGAGAGCUAGUCGUUGGAGAGUUCGCUCUUCGGUGACGCAGCUAACGCAUUAAGCUCUCCGCCUGGGGAGUACGGUCGCAAGAUUAAAACCCAAAGGAAUUGACGGGGGCCCGCACAAGCGGUGCAGCAUGUGGUUUAAUUCGAAGCAACGCGCAGAACCUUACCAUCCUUGACUUCCCUGUCGCGGGCUCA
rnacentral:rRNA from 1 species